ACGGGAGGCAGCAGUGGGGAAUAUUGGACAAUGGGGGAAACCCUGAUCCAGCGACGCCGCGUGAGUGAAGAAGUAUUUCGGUAUGUAAAGCUCUAUCAGCAAGGAAGAAAAUGACGGUACUUGACUAAGAAGCUCCGGCUAAAUACGUGCCAGCAGCCGCGGUAAUACGUAUGGAGCAAGCGUUAUCCGGAUUUACUGGGUGUAAAGGGCGCGUAGGCGGGAUUGCAAGUCAGAUGUGAAAUCCAUGGGCUCAACCCAUGAACUGCAUUUGAAACUGUGAUUCUUGAGUAUCGGAGAGGCAAGUGGAAUUCCUAGUGUAGCGGUGAAAUGCGUAGAUAUUAGGAGGAACACCAGUGGCGAAGGCGGCUUGCUGGACGAUAACUGACGCUGAGGCUCGAAAGCGUGGGGAGCAAACAGGAUUAGAUACCCUGGUA
rnacentral:rRNA from 1 species